AUUUGUCUGGUUAAUUCCGAUAACGAACGAGACCUUAACCUGCUAACUAGAUACUUUUAUUCUAUAAAUGUCAUCUUCUUAGAGGGACUAUGUAAUUAAAAUACAUGGAAGUUUGAGGCAAUAACAGGUCAGUGAUGCCCUUAUAUGUCCUGGGCUGCACGCGUGCUACACUGAUGCAUACAACAAGUGCCCAACCAGACAUGGUACGGCAAUCUCGAAUAUGCAUCGUGAUGGGGAUAGAUCUUUGCAAUUAUAGAUCUUGAACGAGGAAUUCCUAGUAAGUGCAAGUCAUCAUCUUGCAUUGAUUAUGUCCCUGCCCUUUGUACACACCGCCCGUCGCUCCUACCGAUACCGGGUGAUCCGGUGAACCUUUUGGACUCAUCUGAGAAAGAUAAGUAAACCAUAUCACCUAGAGGAAGGAGAAGUCGUAACAAGGUUUCCGUAGGUGAACCUGCRGAAGGAUCA
rnacentral:rRNA from 1 species